UCCGACUUAACGUCGGCAGUCCCUUUAGAGUGCCCAACUGAAUGCUGGCAACUAAAGGCAAGGGUUGCGCUCGUUGCGGGACUUAACCCAACAUCUCACGACACGAGCUGACGACAGCCAUGCAGCACCUGUGAUAGCGUCCCGAAGGACGAUGACAUCUCUGCCAUCUCCACUACCAUGUCAAAACCGGGUAAGGUUCUUCGCGUUGCAUCGAAUUAAACCACAUGCUCCACCGCUUGUGCGGGCCCCCGUCAAUUUCUUUGAGUUUUAAUCUUGCGACCGUACUUCCCAGGCGGGACACUUAACGCGUUAGCUUCGGCACUGAAGGGGUCAAUACCUCCAACACCAAGUGUCCAUCGUUUACAGCGUGGACUAC
rnacentral:misc_RNA from 1 species